UACGUAGGGUCCGAGCGUUAAUCGGAAUUACUGGGCGUAAAGCGUGCGCAGGCGGUCUUGUAAGCCAGAUGUGAAAGCCCCGGGCUCAACCUGGGAACUGCAUUUGGGACUGCAAGGCUGGAGUACGGCAGAGGGAGGUGGAAUUCCAGGUGUAGCGGUGAAAUGCGUAGAUAUCUGGAGGAACACCGGUGGCGAAGGCGGCAUCCUGGACCGGCAUUGACGCUGAGGCGCGAAAGCCAGGGGAGCAAACGGG
rnacentral:rRNA from 1 species